GGGCCCGACCUGGUUUCGACGGGAGUUCUGAGGUGCGAUUGGGGCAUGUCGAGGGGUAGCUCCUCGUAAAACCGCUGCAACGCAAUCUAAUUGCAAACGAUAGCUUCUACGGCGAAAGCCGUCUCGCAGCCUAAUUAAACACUAGGUCGCGUGUGUUGCACCGAGGGACGUGGACCUCGGGCCAAGCCGGGCAACUGGUAAAGCAGCAACAUCAUUUUCCCACGGGUAGGGUGUGUGAGUGUCUGUGACACACAUCCGAAAUCAAGCGGACUGGUUGGCGGCAAGGGUGCUCAUGCUCGUGUCAUCAGCAAGAUCAAAUCAGUGAGCUAAACAUGUAGUCCCGACCACUAAUGGCUUUCGGACGCGGGUUCAAUUCCCGCCGGGUCCACCA
rnacentral:tmRNA from 1 species